UACUUAGUGGCAGACGGGUGAGUAACAUGUGGGUAUCUACCCUUUGGCCUGGAAUAACACGAGGAAACUUGUGCUAAUACCGGAUAAGUCUUUACGGAGAAAGCUUUAUGCACCAUUGGAUGAGCCCGCACUUGAUUAGUUUGUUGGUAGGGUAAUGGCCUACCAAGACUAUGAUCAAUAGCUGAUUUGAGAGGAUGAUCAGCCACAUUGGGACUGAGACACGGCCCAAACUCCUACGGGAGGCAGCAGUGGGGAAUCUUGCACAAUGGAGGAAACUCUGAUGCAGCGAUGCCGCGUGAGUGAAGAAGGCCUUUGGGUUGUAAAGCUCUUUCGUCGGGGAAGAAAAUGACUGUACCCGAAUAAGGAGGUCCGGCUAACUUCGUGCCAGCAGCCGCGGUAAUACGAAGGGACCUAGCGUAGUUCGGAAUUACUGGGCUUAAAGAGUUCGUAGGUGGUUGAAAAAGUUGGUGGUGAAAUCCCAGAGCUUAACUCUGGAACUGCCAUC
rnacentral:rRNA from 1 species